rnacentral:rRNA from 1 species
ACCCGCUGAACUUAAGCAUAUCAAUAAGCGGAGGAAAAGAAACCAACAGGGAUUGCCUCAGUAACGGCGAGUGAAGCGGCAACAGCUCAAAUUUGAAAUCUGGAGCCUUCGGCUUCCGAGUUGUAAUUUGAAGAGGAUGCUUCGGUUGUAGCCUUGGCCCAAGUUCCUUGGAACAGGACGUCGUAGAGGGUGAGAAUCCCGUACACGGCUGCUGGCUUACUUCCAUGUGAAGCUCCUUCGAAGAGUCGAGUUGUUUGGGAAUGCAGCUCAAAAUGGGUGGUAAAUUUCAUCUAAAGCUAAAUAUUGGCGAGAGACCGAUAGCGCACAAGUAGAGUGAUCGAAAGAUGAAAAGCACUUUGAAAAGAGAGUUAAACAGUACGUGAAAUUGUUGAAAGGGAAGCGCUUGCAAUCAGACUCGCUUUCGGUUGAUCAGGGUUCCUUUUGGUUCCUGCACUCUGCCGUUUGCGGGCCAGCAUCAGUUUGGGCGGCCGGACAAAGGCUCUGGGAAUGUGGCUCCCUUCGGGGAGUGUUAUAGCCCUCUGCGUAAUACGGCCAGUCCGGACUGAGGUCCGCGCUUCUGCUAGGAUGCUGGCUUAAUGGUUGUAAGCGACCCGUCUUGAAACACGG